rnacentral:lncRNA from 1 species
AACAGUACACAAGCAAGAGAGCGCUCCCCCCCGACUCCGCCGCUGCCCCCGCCUGCGUAUCCUACUUUCGUCCGCCGGCUGUCUCGGACGAAGAUUAUGGAUCUCCCCCCAGCCAGAAUCUCCGAGGGGUGGGAAAGGGAACCCCUACCCUCGAAGAGACGAGAUCAAGAAGAAGAUCAUUAAGGACCUUCUCCUCGAGACUAUUAGAUCGGUGUUCUUCCGGUCAGGACGGGCCCAGAGCCGCGGAGACGAUCCCAGCCGGGGGAGUGCGUCCGAAACAUCUUCCCGGCGCGGAAACUCGCCCGGAUGACGCCUCCUCGGCCUCGCGGUGCCCGGUUUCUUCCUCCGCUUUGCCCUCCUGGAUUCCUUCCGAUUUCUUCAGUUUCUUCCUCGUUCUGAAAUAUCAUUGUUUGUCUGUGUGUGUGGUCAAGAGGUCGAUCCUUUUUUCUGGUCCUGUUCAUGGCGUCUCGCAGCAUGUUUGAAAUUCAGAUGUAAUUUCCUUUCCCCUUCACCUCCACGGAUUUGUUCAAUUGCGACGAUCAUCUGUACGUGUUCAACUUGAAGAUAACCAACGAUCGUUCCCGAUCCGACCUGGAGUACCUGAGUAAACACCAGGGUAGAGGAAUUGCAUCCAAUAAUUGGAUUACUCUCAAUGGCUGACUCCGAUAUUCUCGGCAAGUCAUAUUUAUCAAGCUAGGUGACCUCGGCCAACGACUUCGUUGUCCCGUCAUCUGGCGAUAGCCAAUUAUAGCGUCCCAGCUCCCACACUCUCUUUUUCUAUUGCUACCCAGUUGAAGAACUGAAUAUAUUUUACGUGUUUUUUUUUCUAGGUUUAAAUAGAAUAUUAUCAAAGUCGUCGCGAACCUGCCCUUUCCCAGCCCACUCGACCAACAUUCCAAAGAUGGUGCGAUGGAAGUAGAUUGACCGAGUUGACAUCGUCAAAAAUGCAUUGUGGUAGUCAGCGGAUGAAAACUGUUUCAGUAAA